AUCAACAGCCAAAUCAACCUGCAGCCCAAGAGCGGUUACUCACUGAAGCUAAGCAGGGCUGAGCCUGGUCAGUACCUGGAUGGGAGAUCACAUGGGAAAGCUUGGUUGCUGUUGGAA
ensembl:rRNA 5S_rRNA 5S ribosomal RNA